GACGAACGCUGGCGGCGUGCCUAAUACAUGCAAGUCGAACGAGAGCGACCGGUGCUUGCACUGGUCAAUCUAGUGGCGAACGGGUGAGUAACACGUGGGUAACCUGCCCAUCAGAGGGGGAUAACAUCCGGAAACGGAUGCUAAAACCGCAUAGGUCUUCGAACCGCAUGGUUUGAAGAGGAAAAGGGGCGCAAGCUUCUGCUGAUGGAUGGACCCGCGGUGCAUUAGCUAGUUGGUGAGGUAACGGCUCACCAAGGCCGUGAUGCAUAGCCGACCUGAGAGGGUGAUCGGCCACAUUGGGACUGAGACACGGCCCAAACGCCUACGGGAGGCAGCAGUAGGGAAUCUUCCGCAAUGGACGCAAGUCUGACGGAGCAACGCCGCGUGAGUGAAGAAGGUUUUCGGAUCGUAAAACUCUGUUGUUAGAGAAGAACAAGUGCUAGAGUAACUGUUAGCGCCUUGACGGUAUCUAACCAGAAAGCCACGGCUAACUACGU
rnacentral:rRNA from 1 species